rnacentral:rRNA from 1 species
GACGAACGCUGGCGGCGUGCUUAACACAUGCAAGUCGAACGGAGCACCCCUGACUGAGGUUUCGGCCAAAUGAUGGGAAUGCUUAGUGGCGGACUGGUGAGUAACGCGUGAGGAACCUGCCUUCCAGAGGGGGACAACAGUUGGAAACGACUGCUAAUACCGCAUGACGCAUGAUCGGGGCAUCCCGGACAUGCCAAAGAUUUAUCGCUGGAAGAUGGCCUCGCGUCUGAUUAGCUAGUAGGCGGGGUAACGGCCCACCUAGGCGACGAUCAGUAGCCGGACUGAGAGGUUGACCGGCCACAUUGGGACUGAGAUACGGCCCAGACUCCUACGGGAGGCAGCAGUGGGGAAUAUUGGGCAAUGGACGCAAGUCUGACCCAGCAACGCCGCGUGAAGGAAGAAGGCUUUCGGGUUGUAAACUUCUUUUGUCAGGGAACAGUAGAAGAGGGUACCUGACGAAUAAGCCACGGCUAACUACGUG